rnacentral:rRNA from 1 species
UACAGAGGUCCCAAGCGUUGUUCGGAUUCACCGGGCGUAAAGGGUGCGUAGGCGGUCGGGUAAGUCUGAUGUGAAAUCUCACAGCUUAACUGUGAAACUGCAUUGGAUACUAUUCGGCUUGAGAGUUGGAGGGGGGACUGGAAUUCUUGGUGUAGCAGUGAAAUGCGUAGAUAUCAAGAGGAACACCAGUGGCGAAGGCGAGUCCCUGGACAACUUCUGACGCUGAGGCACGAAAGCUAGGGGAGCAAACAGG